rnacentral:misc_RNA from 1 species
AAAUUGGACAAUCGACUGCUACGAUAUACUAUGUUCAAUCGUGAUAGUAUACAACUUACUUCAAGGGACUACGUUCAUAAAACGAGCAAAAUUCUCAACUCCAUAUAGAAAUGUUCGUGAUAGAAGUUUACUCAUGGUUGGUAAGGUCACGGACAGGUUAACCGGAUCGAUGAUAUGCAAAAUUAGAAAGAAAUGAAAAGAAAAAGAAAUGCAACGUAACACGUGGCACGUGACGAUACGUUAUGGUCAAUAUAUGUAUGCGUAAUCGGAAUUUCAAUCAAGAACAUAAUUGGAAUUGAGGGUUCCAUCUGUACCAUUUCACUCUUCGGGACUCAGAAGUGGAGGGUUCAAGUUCUCGUUAAAAAAGUGAACUGCGCGGAGUUAUCUUCUCUCCUGAAUUCCGUUGAUAACUCGUCUCCCAUCCGAUCGCGUCUGCACAUCCCCGCA